rnacentral:rRNA from 1 species
AGCUGUGAUCAUACUAGCGUUAAUGUACCGGAUCUCAUCAGAACUCCACAGUUAAGCACACUUGGGCCAGAGUAGUACUGGGAUGGGUGAGCUCCCGGGAAGUCCUGGUGUUGCACCCU